rnacentral:tRNA from 1 species
GCCGCCGUAGCUCAGUGGAUAGAGCAAUUUCCUCCUAAGAAAUGGGUCGCACGUUCGAUUCGUGCCGGUGGCGCCA